rfam:Felis catus isolate Cinnamon breed Abyssinian chromosome B1, whole genome shotgun sequence.
GCCUGGUUGGCUCAGUUGGUAGAGCAUGUGACUCUUGAUCUUGGGGUUGUAGGUUUGAGCCCCACGUUGGGUA